ACAGUGGACGCGAGCAUCUGUGGCCAAGUUUUUAAGGGCGCACGGUGGAUGCCUUGGCACCAGGAACCGAUGAAGGACGUGGGAGGCCACGAUAGUCCCCGGGGAGUCGUCAACCAGGCUUUGAUCCGGGGGUUUCCGAAUGGGGAAACCCGGCAGUCGUCAUGGGCUGUCACCCUUGCCUGAACACAUAGGGCAAGUGGAGGGAACGCGGGGAAGUGAAACAUCUCAGUACCCGCAGGAAGAGAAAACAACCGUGAUUCCGGGAGUAGUGGCGAGCGAAACUGGAUGAGGCCAAACCAUAUGCGUGUGAGACCCGGCAGGGGUUGCGUAUGUGGGGUUGUGGGAUUUCUCUUUCACGGUCUGCCGGCCGUGAGACGAGUCAGAAACCGUUGAUGUAGGCGAAGGACAUGCGAAAGGUCCGGCGUAGAGGGUAAGACCCCCGUAGUCGAAACGUCAACGGCUCGUUUGAGAAACACCCAAGUAGCACGGGGCCCGAGAAAUCCCGUGUGAAUCUGGCGGGACCACCCGCUAAGCCUAAAUAUUCCCUGGUGACCGAUAGCGGAUAGUACCGUGAGGGAAUGGUGAAAAGUACCGCGGGAGCGGAGUGAAAUAGUACCUGAAACCGUGUGCCUACAAGCCGUGGGAGCGUCGCGCAUUGAGUUUACUCAGUGCGUCGUGACUGCGUGCCUUUUGAAGAAUGAGCCUGCGAGUUUGCGGUGUGUUGCGAGGUUAACCCGUGUGGGGAAGCCGUAGCGAAAGCGAGUCCGAAUAGGGCGACAUAGUAGCGCGCUCAAGACCCGAAGCGGAGUGAUCUAGCCAUGGGCAGGUUGAAGCGGCUGUAAGAGGUCGUGGAGGACCGAACCCACCAGGGUUGAAAACCUGGGGGAUGACCUGUGGUUAGGGGUGAAAGGCCAAUCAAACUCCGUGAUAGCUGGUUCUCCCCGAAAUGCAUUUAGGUGCAGCGUCGUGUGUUUCUUGCCGGAGGUAGAGCACUGGAUAGGCGAUGGGCCCUACCGGGUUACUGACCUUAGCCAAACUCCGAAUGCCGGUAAGUGAGAGCGCGGCAGUGAGACUGUGGGGGAUAAGCUCCAUGGUCGAGAGGGAAACAGCCCAGAGCAUCGACUAAGGCCCCUAAGCGUACGCUAAGUGGGAAAGGAUGUGGAGUCGCAGAGACAACCAGGAGGUUGGCUUAGAAGCAGCCACCCUUGAAAGAGUGCGUAAUAGCUCACUGGUCUAGUGAUUCCGCGCCGACAAUGUAGCGGGGCUCAAGCGUACCGCCGAAGUCGUGUCAUUGCAGCAAUACGCCCAACGGCGGCUGUGAUGGGUAGGGGAGCGUCGUGUGCCGGGUGAAGCCGCGCCGGAAGGCAGUGGUGGACGGUUCACGAGUGAGAAUGCAGGCAUGAGUAGCGAUACACACGUGAGAAACGUGUGCGCCGAUUGACUAAGGGUUCCUGGGUCAAGCUGAUCUGCCCAGGGUAAGUCGGGACCUAAGGCGAGGCCGACAGGCGUAGUCGAUGGAUAACCGGUUGAUAUUCCGGUACCCGCUGUGAAGCGUCAAACAUCGAGCCCAUUAAUGCUAAGGCCGUGAAGCCGCCCUGAUCUCUUCGGAGUUGAGGGGAGUGGUGGAGCCGCCGACCCAAGGUGGUAGUAGGUGAGUGAUGGGGUGACGCAGGAAGGUAGUCCAUCCCGGGCGGUGGUUGUCCCGGGGUAAGGGUGUAGGACGUCAGGUAGGUAAAUCCGCCUGGCACAUAGUCUGAGACCUGAUGCCGAGCCGAUUGUGGUGAAGUGGAUGAUCCUAUGCUGUCGAGAAAAGCCUCUAGCGAGUUUCAUGGCGGCCCGUACCCUAAACCGACUCAGGUGGUCAGGUAGAGAAUACCGAGGCGUUCGGGUGAACUAUGGUUAAGGAACUCGGCAAAAUGCCCCCGUAACUUCGGGAGAAGGGGGGCCAUCACCGGUGAUGAGUCUUGCACUCUGAGCUGGGGGUGGCCGCAGAGACCAGCGAGAAGCGACUGUUUACUAAAAACACAGGUCCGUGCGAAGCCGUAAGGCGAUGUAUACGGACUGACGCCUGCCCGGUGCUGGAACGUUAAGGGGACCGGUUAGUCACUCUUCGGGGUGGCGAAGCUGAGAACUUAAGCGCCAGUAAACGGCGGUGGUAACUAUAACCAUCCUAAGGUAGCGAAAUUCCUUGUCGGGUAAGUUCCGACCUGCACGAAUGGCGUAACGACUUCUCGACUGUCUCAACCAUAGGCCCGGUGAAAUUGCACUACGAGUAAAGAUGCUCGUUUCGCGCAGCAGGACGGAAAGACCCCGGGACCUUUACUACAGUUUGAUAUUGGUGUUCGGUUCGGCUUGUGUAGGAUAGGUGGGAGACUUUGAAGCGGCAGCGCCAGCUGUUGUGGAGUCGUCGUUGAAAUACCACUCUGGUCGUGCUGGAUGUCUAACCUGGGUCCGUGAUCCGGAUCAGGGACAGUGUCUGAUGGGUAGUUUAACUGGGGCGGUUGCCUCCUAAAGAGUAACGGAGGCGCCCAAAGGUUCCCUCAGCCUGGUUGGUAAUCAGGUGUUGAGUGUAAGUGCACAAGGGAGCUUGACUGUGAGACCGACGGGUCGAGCAGGGACGAAAAGUCGGGACUAGUGAUCCGGCGGUGGCUUGUGGAAGCGCCGUCGCUCAACGGAUAAAAGGUACCCCGGGGAUAACAGGCUGAUCUUCCCCAAGAGUCCAUAUCGACGGGAUGGUUUGGCACCUCGAUGUCGGCUCGUCGCAUCCUGGGGCUGGAGUCGGUCCCAAGGGUUGGGCUGUUCGCCCAUUAAAGCGGUACGCGAGCUGGGUUUAGAACGUCGUGAGACAGUUCGGUCCCUAUCCGCUGUGCGCGUAGGAAUAUUGAGAAGGGCUGUCCCUAGUACGAGAGGACCGGGACGGACGAACCUCUGGUGUGCCAGUUGUCCUGCCAAGGGCAUGGCUGGUUGGCUACGUUCGGGAGGGAUAACCGCUGAAAGCAUCUAAGCGGGAAGCCUGCUUCGAGAUGAGUAUUCCCACCCCCUUGAGGGGUUAAGGCUCCCAGUAGACGACUGGGUUGAUAGGCCGGAUCUGGAAGGCGGGUAACCGCUGGAGGUGACCGGUACUAAUAGGCCGAGGGCUUGUCCUCAGUUG
rnacentral:rRNA from 1 species